rnacentral:rRNA from 1 species
UACGGAGGGGCCUAGCGUUGCGCGGAAUUACUGGGCGUAAAGGGCGCGUAGGCGGAUUGUUAAGUGGGGGGUGAAAUCACGGGGCUCAACCCCGAAACUGCCUUCGAAACUGGCAAUCUGGAGUUCGAGAGAGGUGAGUGGAAUUCCGAGUGUAGAGGUGAAAUGCGUAGAUAUUCGGAGGAACACCAGUGGCGAAGGCGGCCCACUGGAUCGGUACUGACGCUGAGGUGCGAAAGCUUGGGGAGCAAACAGG